CAGUGGUGGGCUCCGGGGCCGCUCGGAAGGGGAGUCGAGGCCGGGGUGAACCCCAAGUGAGGCCUGGUCUGCGGCCCGGCGGAGGCCGGAAGUCUGAGGUCGGAGCUCGCCGAGGAGGAUUCCGACGCCUCGCCGAGCCAUGGACCCGCCGGCCCGUAAAGAAAAACCCAAAGUUAAGGAGCCUGUCAGCCGCGGGGAGAAGGCGAAGCAGAAGUCCGCGCAGCAGGAGCUGAAGCAGAGACAAAGAGCGGAGGGGUUUGUGUCCAAUGGGGUUGGAGAUGAUCGUCCUCUCUUCAUGCUGAGGUCAUAAGCUGGGACGUGAUGGUAUGAAAGAUUUAGAGGCUUGAGAGUCCAAGCACCAGGACCCGGGAUGCUGAGGACAUGCAGAACCAGAUCCUGUGAUGGGCUGAAUACCAAUGGCUGAAGGACAGAUUUCUUCAUCUUCUCAGAGAGCAAAGUGGAGUGAGCCUGGGGCCACAGAAUGUGGCUGCAGCCGGGAAGCAAAACCUCAAGGAUCAGUUUCCUAUACUAGCCCACCCAGUUGAGAGUCACUUUGCAUUUCUGGGCUUUCAUUUUUAUAGUUGUAAAUGUACUAGUAGGGAGCUGGAUAUGAUGACCUUCAAGGCAUUUUUCUGACACGAAGACUACCAGAAUGCCCCCAAAGCAUCACUGACUCCCUCAGGCUUGGCUCAGGAAAAAUACUUCCAACUUUCAUCAUUUCUGACACACCUACCUCCACCACCACCAUCACCCUUAUCUGUAAAAUGGGGAUCUUAAUGCCUCCUAUGAGUCCUGUGAGGACCUGGUGAGAAAACACACGUAGAAGGUUGUAUGACUGUGAAGAUCUGGAAGGAUGCUCCCAGCAGCCAUGUCAAUGCUUCAAUCACGUCAGUGCAUCAUCACUGCCUUGUAGUAUUCCCUUCAUCUUUGUUCUCCAGACACAAACCCAGAAAGCUUUCUGGAGUACUUAUAUCAUAGCAAAUGAGCCAACUCCCACAGGGUCCCUCUACCAGAGGCAUUCUCAGCUGGUGGCCAGUUAGGGACAACCACUGACACCCCUAGCCUCUCCCUUCUCAAAGCUAUCUUUUCUUUAAUGUCUGUGGGCCCAUCAGGCUUAGAAUGAAACCUCCAGUCUACCAUCUUUCUAACCUCUGGGCUGGCCCCAUGCUCACUUGGGAUCAUGACCAGCUUUCAGCAAGUUGAGGAACUCCAGAGUUCAGAUACCGUUCAGAUACAGCUGUUGUUUACACUGAGACAUGUAUUGUUAAUUACUUAACUUAUUAUUUGUUUUCAAGGAGCAAGAGAGAGAACUAGUACUUGGGCAUGCCAGGGCCUCCUGCCACUGCAAACAAAUUUAAAUUUCAGACACAUGCAUCAUUUUGUGUAUUGUGGAUACUGGGGAAUUAAACCCCAGUUAUCAAGCUUUGCAAGCAAGCACCUAUAACCACUGACCCAUCUCUCCAGCCCUAGACUGACAUAUUUUAGCACAUGGUAGAUCUUGCAGAUCUAGUCUCAAUCCAAGAGGCAAUUGGCCAGGUCCUGGUUUCAGCUUUUCUAUUGUCAGCUGUGCCAGCUGUCAUGUUCUGGGUCUCUAUGUUUGUUUGAGAAGUAGCCUAUGGUAGUACCAUGUUUAGCAGUCUUUAAGAAUAUGCAUCACUUAUGAAAAACCAAUAUGGCCAGUGUUUCAUCCUAUCUUUGACCAUAGAUUGAUUCUGUCGUCAGACAAGCCACUGCAUCUGCCUGAACCUCCGUUUCCACCUCUAGUCACAGAGAGGUGAAUCAAUGUCUGUACUAUAUCUCCGCAGCUGAAGUGGACAUCACUGGCAUGCAUGGGAAGAGUUAAAGCCAGUGGUAAGGGGUGUGUACCUAGCAAAGGUACUAGAAAGGACCCAGGGCUCCCAAUGGGGUGUAUCUGGUUCAUAUUUCUAUUGUCUGCAUAUUUCUAUGAUGUAAAUUCAUCCAUCAUGACCAAAGUCAAGUUUGCAACCUUGUAUCACUGAAAGGGUUGCAAUCCUCACCCUACAAACCAGCAGAUGAAACAUCAGCUAACAGAAGGCUGCAGCAAAAUGUGGUGAAUGACUAGGAUGGAAGAGUGCUGAGUGUUUAGUAUCUUUGGGUUUAUGAGUUUUUUUAAUCAAAAACAAUUGAGUUCAAUACUAAGGAUUAACCUUAGCUCAGCAUACUAGUCCAGUACAGUAUCUCUGAAAUACAUUCCCAACAACACAGACCAUUUUAGUAUAAUUACUAUAAAUGUAGUUUGGCAAUUUAGCUUUUUGUUAUGGCCUACAUGAAUAGCAAUUGUUUUGGUGGCCUGUGGGAUUCUGGGAAGGACCUUAGAGGUGAGUCUUCUCCUCCUGAAUAGUUUAGAAAACAAGAUACAGGGAGAAGGCAACUGACCAGCACUUGUGCCAGGGUGUUCAACCCUAACACACAAAAUCUCCAGGAAACCCCAGAAAAGAAGAGGUCAUUAUUAGCAUGUUACAGAAGAGACAGCUGAGGCAGCAUGAUGGCAAGUUUAGGAGACCAUGGACUAGGCUUUGCAGGCAAGUGCCUUAACCACUCAGAAAUCUCUCUAUCCUGUGCUUUUUAUUUUCUAUUCCCCUAUUUUCAUUCUUUUUAUGUUUAGUAUUAUUAUUGACAAGAUGUUUCUAUGGAUACAUCAUGUGUUUGUACCCUCUUUUCCCUUUCCCCUACCUCCAUCCCAUUGGGGACACUUGUCAUUGGGGUUGCAGGUUUUCCCCAUGGGGUUGUGGUUUAUGCAUUGUGAGAGCAGUAUUCAGUUAUUUGGCGGGGGGUGGGGGGGUGGAGGCAAUGCCUCUGGGCAUGAUGUU